rnacentral:misc_RNA from 1 species
AACAUCGCGCACCUGCGGGAACCUGCGGAAGGAUCAUUACAGAGUUAUCCAACUCCCAAACCCAUGUGAACUUAUCUCUUUGUUGCCUCGGCGCAAGCUACCCGGGACCCCGCGCCCCGGGCGGCCCGCCGGCGGACAAACCAAAACUCUUGUUAUCUUAGUUGAUUCUCUGAGCGUCUUAUUUAAUAAGUCAAAACUUUCAACAAUGGAUCU